UAAGAGGUCGUGCCUGCCCUGUGAGUUAGUUUAACGGCUGCGGUAUCAUGACCGUGCAAAGGUAGCGCAAUCACUUGUCUCUUAAAUGGAGACCCGUAUGAAUGGUGUGACGAGGGCUUAACUGUCUCCUUUUUCAGGUCAAUGAACUUGAUCUUCCCGUGCAGAAGCGGGAAUUUAUACAUAAGACGAGAAGACCCUAUGGAGCUUUAGACAUAGAGGUAGUUCAUGGACACUAUACCUUUUAAAGAAUUAAACAAGCCGUGUUACCUGCCUCUCAUCUUUGGUUGGGGCGACCGCGAAGAAAAAUUUAUCCCUCGCGACGGACUGGGAGGAUUCUCCUAAAACCAAGAGCGGCAGCUCUAAGCAACAAAACUUUUGACUCUACAGAACCGGUUCAUAAACCGAUCAACGGACCGAGUUACCCUAGGGAUAACAGCGCAAUCCUCUUCUAGAGACCUUAUCGACGAGAGGGUUUACGACCUCGAUGUUGGAUCAGGACAUCCUGAUGGCGCAGCCGUUAUCAAGGGUUCGUUUGUUCAACG
rnacentral:rRNA from 1 species